AGCGAACGCUGGCGGCAGGCCUAACACAUGCAAGUCGAACGGAUCCUUCGGGAUUAGUGGCGGACGGGUGAGUAACACGUGGGAACGUGCCUUUUGGUUCGGAACAACUCAGGGAAACUUGAGCUAAUACCGGAUGUGCCCUUCGGGGGAAAGAUUUAUCGCCAUUAGAGCGGCCCGUCGUCUGAUUAGCUUGUUGGUGA
rnacentral:rRNA from 1 species